rnacentral:rRNA from 1 species
CCUACGGGAGGCAGCAGUGGGGAAUAUUGGGCAAUGGAGGGAAACUCUGACCCAGCGACGCCGCGUGCGGGAUGAAGGCCUUCGGGUUGUAAACCGCUUUCAGCAGGGAAGAAGCGAAAGUGACGGUACCUGCAGAAGAAGCACCGGCUAACUAUGUGCCAGCAGCCGCGGUAAUACAUAGGGUGCAAGCGUUGUCCGGAAUUAUUGGGCGUAAAGAGCUCGUAGGUGGUUCGUCACGUCGGAUGUGAAAAUCUGGGGCUUAACCCCAGACCUGCAUUCGAUACGGGCGAGCUUGAGUAUGGUAGGGGAGUCUGGAAUUCCUGGUGUAGCGGUGGAAUGCGCAGAUAUCAGGAGGAACACCAAUGGCGAAGGCAGGACUCUGGGCCAUUACUGACACUGAGGAGCGAAAGCGUGGGGAGCGGAACAGGAUUAGGAUACCCUGGUAGUCCACGCCGUAAACGGUGGGCACUAGUUGUGGGGACCUUCCACGGGUCUCUGCGUACGCAGCUAACGCAUUAAGUGCCCCGCCUCGGGGAGGUACGAGUCGCGAGAUUAAACUACAAAGAAGUAGACGG